AGAGUAAAAAUAAUAAGUGAAAACUAUCCAGAAUGGCGGUUUUUUUUAUUUUCAGAAAAAUGUGUUUUUAAAACGAAAUUACACGAAAAUCUUUCUUACUCUAGAAAAACAUCCUGUACACCGCCGUCUGAAGGGUCAACCUAAAAUGUUAGCUCAUAAUUUCCUAAGAAAAAUAAGUCAGGUAAGGUGCAGACAAUGGGUAAGAAAAAAUGCAUUUCCCUAGAUUUUACGGAAAAGAGGUUGAAACACCCCUUUGAAGAAGAAUUUGAAAGUAAGAAUUUUUGAUAAAAAAAAUCUGAACUCAUACCAAAAAAAAUGU
rnacentral:rRNA from 1 species